GAUGAACGCUGGCGGCGUGCCUAAUACAUGCAAGUCGAGCGAACAGAUGAGGAGCUUGCUUCUCUGAUGUUAGCGGCGGACGGGUGAGUAACACGUGGAUAACCUACCUAUAAGACUGGGAUAACUUCGGGAAACCGGAGCUAAUACCGGAUAAUAUUUUGAACCGCAUGGUUCAAUAGUGAAAGACGGUCUUGCUGUCACUUAUAGAUGGAUCCGCGCUGCAUUAGCUAGUUGGUAAGGUAACGGCUUACCAAGGCAACGAUGCGUAGCCGACCUGAGAGGGUGAUCGGCCACACUGGAACUGAGACACGGUCCAGACUCCUACGGGAGGCAGCAGUAGGGAAUCUUCCGCAAUGGGCGAAAGCCUGACGGAGCAACGCCGCGUGAGUGAUGAAGGUCUUCGGAUCGUAAAACUCUGUUAUUAGGGAAGAACAAAUGUGUAAGUAACUGUGCACGUCUUGACGGUACCUAAUCAGAAAGCCACGGCUAACUACGUG
rnacentral:rRNA from 1 species